CGUCCGUCAGUGCAAUGCAUGUGCUGAAGCAGCGAAGGCUCCGGCGAAAGCAACCCUGGAAUCAUGGCCUCUCCAGGACCGGCCGUGGCAACGAGUACACGUCGAUUUCGCUGGCCCAAUCGACGGACAUCACUAGGCAUGGGCAAAACGAUUCUUUUCACCGAACGCGAACGAACUAGUUCGCUCACCAAAAAGAACCGAACGUGAACGACGAUUCUUUCGUUCUUUUUUUCAUGGGGUUUUUAUUCACAAAGAACAUUCGUUAUUUUUUUCAUUUACCCACCAUAGACGCAUACUGUAGCCAAAGAAGUACUCAUUCUGCGGUUGAAACCAAUCAUUUAAAAACAUUAAAUAAAUCAGCCCAUCUGCUGUCUGGUCAACACAAUCUAUCGCAAAACCGACCAAAAACUAGCAUGUAAAAAACUAAUACGAGCAAAAAUGUCUCCAGCAUAUAUUGUACCCUAUGUCUUAUACACACUCAAGGAUUCUAUAAAAAAAAACUACUUAAACAUGGAUAAACAUGAUGAGCGCAAUCAAUUCAGUUCAGUUCAUUCGCGAACAAUGACUAAUGCGUUUAAACGGGCUCGAUCUAUUGAAUUGUAUAGGUAUAAUUUACACACCAACAGAACACAGAUCGAACACCAGUUCGAACGCGUUCGAUGAAUUCAGUUGUGUAGGUACGAUUUACAUACCAACAGAACACAGAUCGAACACUAACCGAUCAGAUCGAACGCGUUCGAUGAAUUCAGUUGUGUAGGUACGAUUUCCACACCAACAGAACACAGAUCGAACACCAGUUCGAACGCGUUCGAUGAAUUCAGUUGUGUAGGUACGAUUUACAUACCAACAGAACACAGAUCGAACACUAACCGAUCAGAUCGAACGCGUUCGAUGAAUUCAGUUGUGUAGGUACGAUUUCCACACCAACAGAACACAGAUCGAACACCAGUUCGAACGCGUUCGAUGAAUUCAGUUGUGUAGGUACGAUUUACAUACCAACAGAACACAGAUCGAACACUAACCGAUCAGAUCGAACGCGUUCGAUGAAUUCAGUUGUGUAGGUACGAUUUCCACACCAACAGAACACAGAUCGAACACCAGUUCGAACGCGUUCGAUGAAUUCAGUUGUGUAGGUACGAUUUACAUACCAACAGAACACAGAUCGAACACUAACCGAUCAGAUCGAACGCGUUCGAUGAAUUCAGUUGUGUAGGUACGAUUUCCACACCAACAGAACACAGAUCGAACACCAGUUCGAACGCGUUCGAUGAAUUCAGUUGUGUAGGUACGAUUUACAUACCAACAGAACACAGAUCGAACACUAACCGAUCAGAUCGAACGCGUUCGAUGAAUUCAGUUGUGUAGGUACGAUUUACACACCAACAGAACACAGAUCGAACACCAGUUCGAACGCGUUCGAUAAAUUCAGUCGUAUUGAUACGAUUUCCACACCAACAGCACACGUAUCGAACACUGCUGGACAAAUUCGACGGCGUUCGAGGAAUUGAGUUGUAUGGGUACGAUUUCAACACCAACAGGGUACAUUUUGAUCUCUGACGACCCGUUCGCACGGUGCGAGAAAGAGCGAGAAAGCAAUAUGAUUUUGCACGUUUCAUUACCACAUUUAUGUGUGCCGUCAAACACU